rnacentral:sRNA from 1 species
CUUGGUCAUUUAGAGGAAGUAAAAGUCGUAACAAGGUCUCCGUAGGUGAACCUGCGGAGGGAUCAUUACAAGUGACCCCGGUCUAACCACCGGGAUGUUCAUAACCCUUUGUUGUCCGACUCUGUUGCCUCCGGGGCGACCCUGCCUUCGGGCGGGGGCUCCGGGUGGACACUUCAAACUCUUGCGUAACUUUGCAGUCUGAGUAAACUUAAUUAAUAAAUUAAAACUUUUAACAACGGAUCUCUUGGUUCUGGCAUCGAUGAAGAACGCAGCGAAAUGCGAUAAGUAAUGUGAAUUGCAGAAUUCAGUGAAUCAUCGAAUCUUUGAACGCACAUUGCGCCCGCCAGCAUUCUGGCGGGCAUGCCUGUUCGAGCGUCAUUUCAACCCUCGCAGCCCCUCUGGGCAGCGGUGUUGGGGACCGGCACAACUGGCGCGCCCCCGUGGCGCCCGGCGCCGCCCCCGAAAUACAGUGGCGGUCCCGCCGCAGCCUCCCUUGCGUAGUAGCACACCUCGCACCGGAGCGCGGCGCGGCCAUGCCGUAAAACCCCCGACUUUCUGAGUUUGACCUCGAAUCAGGUAGGAAUACCCGCUGAACUUAAGCAUAUCAAUAAGCGGAGGAAAAGAAACCAACAGGGAUUGCCCCAGUAACGGCGAGUGAAGCGGCAACAGCUCAAAUUUGAAAUCUGGUCCCCAGGGCCCGAGUUGUAAUUUGUAGAGGAUGCUUUUGGCGCGGUGCCUUCCGAGUUCCCUGGAACGGGACGCCAUAGAGGGUGAGAGCCCCGUCUGGUUGGAUACCAAGCCUCUGUAAAGCUCCUUCGACGAGUCGAGUUGUUUGGGAAU